rnacentral:lncRNA from 1 species
GUUAUGCAAUUGUUAGACAGCAUCCUGGUAAAAAAAAAAUUGUUACAUUAGCAAUCAAUCAUUAUUGAAGAGAAAACAAAAGUGAAAAUCAUGUGAUUGGCAAUCAAACAUUGUUACAUCAGCAAUCAAUCAUACUAAGUAUAUAUUUAUGCUGAACACAUACUGGUAUUCAAAACUCACAUCAAAUCAGGGUAACAUAGUGUUAUACUUUAAUGUAUAAGAUGAUCAAGCAUGCCAACAAGAAGUUU